rnacentral:rRNA from 1 species
UUAAUAUUUAUUUAUUAAUUUUAUUUAUUUAAUUAAUUAAUUAUUAAAAAUAAUUAUUAAAAUAAAUUGUUUUAGUAUUUUAUAAAGAAAAAAUAAUUUUAAUUAUAGUUUAAUUGUAUUGUAAAAGAAAAUUUAAAUAAAUUGAAAAAUUUUUAUUAAAAAAGAAAAUUUAAUUUAUUGUACCUUGUGUAUCAGGGUUUAUUAAUUAAAAGUUAUUUAUAUAUAAUUUUCUCGAUUUUAAAAGAGUUAAUAUAUUAUUAAAGUUAAUAUAAUAAAAUUAUUUUAAAUAAUAUAUUAGAAAUGAAAUGUUAUUCGUUUUUAAAGGUAUCUAGUUCUUUAUGAAAUAAAUUUAAUUUAUAAAUUUUAUAUUAUUUAAUUAAAUAUUUUAAUUAAAUAAUUAUUUAAGUUUAAUAUUUUAUGGGAUAAGCUAUAAAAUAUAUUUUUAAAAAUAAAUAAAUAAAUAUAAUAAUAUAUAAAUUUAAAAAUAGUUAUUAUUAAUAAAAAUAUUAUAAUUUAUUUUAUAAUAUAAAUUAUUUAUUAAAAUUUUAAUUAUUUAUUAAAGUAAUUAUUUUAAUAAAAAAAAUUAUACAAUAAUGAUAAAAUUAGUAUAAAAAGUUGUUGUAAUAAAAUUAAAUGAAAAGUUUUUAUAAAGAAUUCGGCAAAAAUAAUAUUUGCCUGUUUAACAAAAACAUGUCUUUUAGUUUUUUUUUUUAAGUCUAAUCUGCCCACUGAAUUUUAUUUAAAUGGCCGCAGUAUAUUAACUGUGCAAAGGUAGCAUAAUCAUUAGUCUUUUAAUUGAAGGCUGGUAUGAAUGAUUGAACAAAAUAUUAACUGUUUCAUGAAAAUUUAUAUUAAAAUUUUAUUUUUUAGUUAAAAAGCUAAAAUUUAUUUAAUAGACGAGAAGACCCUAUAAAUCUUUAUAUUUAUAAUAUUAUAAUUUUUUAGAUAUUUUUAAUUAUUAAUAUUUAUUAAUAUUUUGUUGGGGUGAUAUUAAAAUUUAAUAAACUUUUAAUUUAUUUUUCAUUAAUUUAUGUUUUAUUGAUCCGUUAUUAACGAUUAAAAAAUUAAGUUACUUUAGGGAUAACAGCGUAAUUUUUUUGGAGAGUUCAUAUUAAUAAAAAAGAUUGCGACCUCGAUGUUGGAUUAAGAUAUAAUUUUAGGUGUAGUCGCUUAAAUUUUAAGUCUGUUCGACUUUUAAAUUCUUACAUGAUCUGAGUUCAAACCGGUGUAAGCCAGGUUGGUUUCUAUCUUUAAAUUAAUAAAAUAUUUUAGUACGAAAGGACCUAAUAUUUAAUAAAUUAUUAUUUUUAUUAUAUAUUUUAUAUUGAAUAUAAUUAACUU